rnacentral:lncRNA from 1 species
GGUAGACGAGAACGAAGCAAGAUCAGUAGCUCAGGAUGGCAGUGAGAGCAGUAGUACUUCAGACACCACGCCUGCUACAUCUUUCAGUCUCCACGCCACCACCGACCCUCGAGUCUACGCAGCCCAGUGGCCGUGUGUGUCUUGGCGUUGGGCGUGACGUGCAGCAACGGUGGUAAUAGCAACGGGAAGCUUGAUGCACAGCACAGCACAGCACAGCACAGCGGAGAGAUUGGUGGUGAGUUGACGAUCCAAAGGCCUGACUCCACAGCGGUAAUGAGCCUUGUGUACCUUGCACUGUCUUCACUGACAACGCCCACUACUAACCCCUCUGCCUCCGCCACCGUUUCAAGAUCAGGGAAGGACUCUGCCUUGCAUCGCGCACUGUGAUGGUCGCCGCCCCCCCCCGCCCCCGCCGCCGCCGCCGCUGCUGCUGCUGCUGCUGCCGCCGCCGCUAAGGGAGAAUAGUUUGUUGAUUGGAUGACGGCGCGUUCACUGACCCUCUCCCCAUCACCCUACCAACUCCGGCCACCCACCCCCCUGCCACCUGACACCUGCUACACCACCACUACCGCCGGCUCCGUCCAGUGAAAGAUUCAUCGCAGACCUGCCAUUCAACGCCUGCCGCCGCCGCCACCACCACCACCUCCUUAUGGUGGUGUCACUGUACCUGGAGCUGUUGUCAUGAUUGAAUAAUAAAUUGUGAAGAAAU